CGCGGCGCGGGCCGCGGCCGGGGCGGAGGGCGGCCUCGGCGGGGCAGCUCCCCCCCUUCCCCCCCUCCCCACACACAACCGCCCCCGGUAACGGCCGCCGCGCGCCGGGGCCCAGGGCCAGGUCCCCCUUCCAAAAUGCCUUUGCUUGAAAAGCAAGAAAAUGGUGAGCAGGUGUUGAUGAAAAAUGAAAGCUAUUUGCAAAUCUUGAAAAAUAAGGAUCAGAGAAAGAGACUUGUCCAUGAAAUCUGUUCCUUUUUAGACAGCAGUCAGUCUGUCCAAGAAAUUAAUGCUUUGAGGACAGAAAAUAGGAAGCUAAAAAAUGCGAACUCAAGACUGCGAUAUAAAACAAAAGAUUGGGCAUUAAGGAAAGAAGAGUAUAAAAAUGAGAUUGAGAGACUUUCUGGCGAGAUAUCCAGCUACUUAAAUGUCACCAAUUUCUGGCAGAUAAGAGGAUACCAAGGGAACAGACCAAACAUGCGAGCACUCAGACAGAGGGCGCCUACAGAGCGGAAGAAAGGACUGUUGCAACUCAGACAGGUGAAGAAAGCUCAAGGAUGACUUUGGAUGGUGGAAGAGCAGUUUAAUGUCAACGUGACUUGUUGCUGGACAACAUAAUGUUUGACAUUGUUUCAAAUUUCAGUCUUAAGAAUAUAUUCAAAUAUAUAUAUUUAUAUAAAUAAAAAUCUAUUUAAUCUUACUAAUAAUUAUUCU
rnacentral:lncRNA from 1 species